rnacentral:rRNA from 1 species
CAUGCGAGUCGAGAGGGUUCGGCCCUCGGCGCACGGCUCAGUAAAACGUGGACAACCUGCCCUCGGGUGGGGGAUAACCCCGGGAAACUGGGGCUAAUACCCCAUAGGUCACGGGUACUGGAAUGUCCCGUGACCGAAAGCUCCGGCGCCCGAGGAUGGGUCUACGGCGGAUUAGGUAGUUGGCGGGGUAACGGCCCGCCAAGCCGAAGAUCCGUACGGGCCAUGAGAGUGGGAGCCCGGAGAUGGACCCUGAGACACGGGUCCAGGCCCUACGGGGCGCAGCAGGCGCGAAACCUUUACAAUGCGGGAAACCGUGAUAAGGGGACCCCGAGUGCCCCUGCCACGCAGGGGCUGUCCGGGUGUGUAAAAAGCACCCGACAGCAAGGGCUGGGCAAGACCGGUGCCAGCCGCCGCGGUAACACCGGCAGCCCGAGUGGUGGCCGCGAUUAUUGGGUCUAAAGCGUCCGUAGCCGGCCCGGUAAGUCUCUCGGGAAAUCCGGCGGCUUAACCGUCGGGCGUCCGAGAGAUACUGCCGGGCUUGGGACCGGGAGAGGCCGAGGGUACUCCCGGGGUAGGGGUGAAAUCCUGUAAUCCCGGGGGGACCACCGGUGGCGAANGCGCUCGGCUGGAACGGGUCCGACGGUGAGGGACGAAGGCCA